AAAUGAAUAGACGGGGACCCGCACAAGCGGUGGAUGAUGUGGAUUAAUUCGAUGCAACGCGAAGAACCUUACCUGGUCUUGACAUGUACGGGAUCUUUUGGAGACAGAAGAGUGCCUUCGGGAGCCGUAACACAGGUGCUGCAUGGCUGUCGUCAGCUCGUGUCGUGAGAUGUUGGGUUAAGUCCCGCAACGAGCGCAACCCUUGUCAUUAGUUGCCAUCAUUUGGUUGGGCACUCUAAUGAGACUGCCGGUGACAAACCGGAGGAAGGUGGGGAUGACGUCAAGUCCUCAUGGCCCUUAUGACCAGGGCUUCACACGUCAUACAAUGGUUAGUACAGAGGGUAGCCAAGCCGCGAGGCGGAGCCAAUCUCAGAAAGCUAAUCGUAGUCCGGAUUGCACUCUGCAACUCGAGUGCAUGAAGUCGGAAUCGCUAGUAAUCGCAGGUCAGCAUACUGCGGUGAAUACGUUCCCGGGUCUUGUACACACCGCCCGU
rnacentral:rRNA from 1 species